UACAGGGGGUGCAAACGUUGCUCGGAAUCAUUGGGCGUAAAGCGCACGUAGGCGGUCUGUUAUGUCGGAUGUGAAAGCCCUCGGCUCAACUGAGGAAGUGCAUCCGAAACUGGCAGGCUAGAGUACUAAAGAGGGUCGCGGAAUUCCCGGUGUAGAGGUGAAAUUCGUAGAUAUCAGGAGGAACACCGGUGGCGAAGGCGGCGACCUGGGUAGAUACUGACGCUGAGGUGCGAAAGCGUGGGGAGCAAACAGG
rnacentral:rRNA from 1 species